rnacentral:rRNA from 1 species
GACGAACGCUGGCGGCGCGCCUAACACAUGCAAGUCGAACGGAGCUGAGAGAAGCUUGCUUUUCUUAGCUUAGUGGCGAACGGGUGAGUAACGCGUGAGUAACCUGCCCUGGAGUGGGGGACAACAGUUGGAAACGACUGCUAAUACCGCAUAAGCCCACGAUCCGGCAUCGGAUUGAGGGAAAAGGAUUUAUUCGCUUCAGGAUGGACUCGCGUCCAAUCAGCUAGUUGGUGGGGUAACGGCCCACCAAGGCGACGAUUGGUAGCCGGACUGAGAGGUUGAACGGCCACAUUGGGACUGAGACACGGCCCAGACUCCUACGGGAGGCAGCAGUUGGGGAUAUUGCACAAUGGGGGAAACCCUGAUGCAGCGACGCCGCGUGGAGGAAGAAGGUUUUCGGAUUGUAAACUCCUGUCGUUAUGGACGAUAAUGACGGUACCUGACAAGAAAGCACCGGCUAACUACGUG